GUUUGCAGAGUGGCUUCAGUGGUUUAUAGUCCCAUUAACAUUUAAUGAGGGCUCCACUUUCCCCGCAGCAGGCGUGUGCUGCUGUUACUGGUCUUUGCCACUUUGAUUGAGAGCACGGAGGGAUUUUUCCACGCCACAACUCUGCUGGAUCUCCUGAAGACCAGGCAGACCCAACGACACUAGACAGACGGACUGGGGAUUUCUCCAUCACUGUUGCACAUAAGAAGAGUGGUGAUAGGAAGAGUGGACACAGCAGUGUUCAUACCAGGCACUGUCCUGGAGCCAGUGAUGCCAGAGGGAGCAAGCCUCCUACCCUACAAAACUCAUCUCCUGUGACCUUCUAGCCUGAGUCAAGCUGGGAUCGUCAUUGCUCUGUGUGGGCAAGGUUACAUCACAGCUUGGCAGGGUCUGCGGUGCAGGAGAUGGAAGAAGAGAAGACGGCAGCAAUAAAGCAAUUUCUACUGGUUAAAUAGCUUCCUGCCACUGCCUAGAUCUCUGCUGCUAUCAGAAUGAGUUGUGAAAGUUCUUAUGAGGAGGAGGAAAUGGUUACUGCAGGAGACUCAUCACUGAUGAAACUGGAAUAGGUUACUCUUUCUGUAAUGGGGGUACUAUUUCUGUAGUAUGGUAGCCCAAUGCUCACUCACUCAAUAAAGGACUAUACAAAUACCAGCUGACAUUCAAGAACCUGGACACGUCAUAGAGGAAAAUCAGAGGAAAGGCAUGGCUAUAAACCCACAGUGACCAACAGCGACAAAUAGCACUAUUCAAAAAUGAUGAAAAGCCCACUUCUUUGUUAAGCUGAUUACAUAACAGUUUCGUGUGCUAGAGACAAACAAUGCUUAUUUUAGGUCUCAUCAACAUAGUUUCUUCCACUUGACCUGAUAAUUGUCUGACAGGUGGUCACAAGACCAUAUCACUAUAACCUCAGUUAACAUGUAUACCUCAAAUGGAUUGCAUUGACCUUUCACACUUUCUUCUAUCAGGAAGAAAUUAGAAACUUCAACUUAAUGACAGCAUAUAGGAAAGAACCCAUGAAAAGUUAGAGAAAAAAGAGAUGAAGAAAGCAAAGAGUAAAUAUAAAAUAAGGAAGACACAAGCAAUAUUCUUCGAAGAUCCGUAUGGUCUCAUAAAGGAGUAUAUCAUGAUAUACUUUAUUAUACAACAAAGUUCUAUUAAAAAGAUAGUGUGGAUUUA
rnacentral:lncRNA from 1 species